rnacentral:rRNA from 1 species
CCGGCGCACGGGUGAGUAACACGUAUCCAACCUGCCGUCUACUCUUGGACAGCCUUCUGAAAGGAAGAUUAAUACAAGAUGGCAUCAUGAGUCCGCCUGUUCACAUGAUUAAAGGUAUUCCGGUAGACGAUGGGGAUGCGUUCCAUUAGAUAGUAGGCGGGGUAACGGCCCACCUAGUCUUCGAUGGAUAGGGGUUCUGAGAGGAAGGUCCCCCACAUUGGAACUGAGACACGGUCCAA